rnacentral:rRNA from 1 species
GAUGAGCGCUGGCGGCGUGCUUAACACAUGCAAGUCGAACGGAAAGGCCCAAGCUUGCUUGGGUUAUCGAGUGGCGAACGGGUGAGUAACACGUGGGUGAUCUGCCCUGCACUUCGGGAUAAGCCUGGGAAACUGGGUCUACUACCGGAUAGGACCACAUUUUGGAUGGUGUGGUGGAAAGCUUUUCGGUAUGGGCUGGGCUCGCGGCCUAUCACCUUGUUGGUGGGGGAAUGGGUGACGAAGUAGUCGACGGGUAGCCGGCCUGGGAGGGUGUACGGCCACAUGGGGACUGAGGGACGGCGCAGACGCCAACGUGAGGCAGCAGGGGGGAAUAUUGCACAAUGGGCGCAAGCCUGAUGCAGCGACGCUGCGUGGGUGAAGACGGCCUUCGGGGUGUAAACACCUUUCGCUAGGGACGAAGCGCAAGUGACGGUACCUGGAGAAGAAGCACCGGCUAACUACGUG